UACGUAGGGUCCGAGCGUUGUCCGGAAUUACUGGGCGUAAAGAGCUCGUAGGUGAUUUGUCGCGUUGUUCGUGAAAACUCACAGCUCAACUGUGGGCGUGCGGGCGAUACGGGCAGACUUGAGUACUGCAGGGGAGACUGGAAUUCCUGGUGUAGCGGUGGAAUGCGCAGAUAUCAGGAGGAACACCUAUAGCGAAGGCAGCUCGCUGGGACGACACUGACGCUGAGACGCGAAAGCGUGGGGAGCGAACAGG
rnacentral:rRNA from 1 species